GGGCCCAUAGCUCAGCGGCAGAGCGGACGGCUCAUAACCGUUUGGCCGUAGGUUCGAUCCCUACUGGGCCCACUA
rnacentral:tRNA from 1 species